CCCACACGACCGGCAGGGUCCUCGCCUCCUCGCCCCGCGCCGCGCCACGCAACCAAACAUCUGCCCUGCGGGGGCGCAGGGGAGCACGCUCCCAUCUGCUGCUCACGGAGCUCUGGCAUCCAGUUGCACAGCCAUGCCUUUGCACCUGCUGUUCCCUCUGCCUGGAAGGCCCUGUUCUGCAUCUUCUCCCUGGUGAACUCACGCUGGUCCUUAGGCUUCUCUUUGAAGCUUUGGGCAUCAGGCCUUCCUGCCCCAGUUGAAUCUUCUCUCUGGGGAAGAAAGAGCCUGGACGCACUCGCAGGUGACCUGUGUUUGGAUGUCAGGUGUGCUCCGGGUAAUUGGCUAUACAGGUGAUGAGGAAGCUGAGAGCCCACCCAGCAAAGGAGAGAAAGGUAACACAGAGAUACCUGAGAGCGGGAAGCUACUACCAGCCCGAAGAUGGAGGGACCAAGGUGCUGGAAGCCCAGGGUUGUGUAAACGCAUGGAAGCUGGAACCUUGACAGACAUGUCCAGGGGAAGCUGAAGUCAAGACAGCAACUGGCAACGUUCCAGACAGCGGCUGUCCCACAUGCCUGGGUCCCAGAAUGAAGAAGGCAUGGAGCACAGCUUCCUGCUGA